AUACGUAGGGAGCGAGCGUUGUCCGGAAUUACUGGGUGUAAAGGGUGCGUAGGCGGGCCUGCAAGUCAGAUGUGAAAUGCCGGGGCUCAACCCCGGCGCUGCCUUUGAAACUGUGGUUCUUGAGUGAGGUAGAGGUAAGCGGAAUUCCUAGUGUAGCGGUGAAAUGCGUAUAUAUUAGGAGAAACAUCGGUGGCGAAGGCGGCUUACUGGGCCUAUACGGACGCUGAGGCACAAAAGAGUAGGGAUCAAACAAGAUUAGAUACCCUGGUAGUCCACGCUGUAAACGAUGAUGACUAGGUGUGGGGGGACUGAACCCUUCCGUGCCGCAGUUAACACAACAAGUCAUCCACCUGGGGAGUUCGGCCGCAAGGUUGAAACUCAAAUUAAUUGACGGGG
rnacentral:rRNA from 1 species